GGGGAGGACCGUGCUCUUGUGGCCUGCACAGCUCCAGCAGGACAGGGCUGGGGACAGGAAGUGACCCCCAGGACUGGACAGUCUGCCAUGAAGGGGAGAGCUGAGCCAGGCUGCGGUGGAACGGAACCGCAGGGGCAGAGCGCGGGGCCAACGAGGCAGGGGCUGGAACCCAGGCGCACACGGUAUCCGAAGCACGGAACACACGCAGCAGAGCUGGGCAGCAGCCCUGCCUCCAGCCCUGACCUCAACAUCAGUGAGCACAGCCCCCGCCGGCCCACCGGGCAGACCCCAGCUCAGCUCGCUCGGGGGGACUCGUCCCUGCCACAUUCCGCCAGCCCCUGUCCAAGACGAAGUGGCCUCAGACCCCCCCCCGCCGCCCAGCCAGGACUCCGGGGACAGCCACUGGACAGCAUGGCAGAACCAUCUGGGGGUGUUGGGCCAGAAGCCCAGGACACCGUGGGUGAGGGCGUGAUGGGGUUCCAGAGCUGGGAGCCAGCAGUCCCCCUUGAGGUCAUUUACAACACCUGGCCAUGGCCCAGGGCCCCCACGACCCACGUCCGGGCGUGUCCAGACCACAGACCACAGACCACGACUGUGCACCUGGUAGCAGCCCUGGCCAUACUGGAGUUCUGGAACUCUCCAGAACACGUCACCCAGCCGGGCCCCAGCGUCCCGCGUGCUCCAGCCGCAGCGGCCGUCCACCCUCCUCCAACGCUGCUGCUUCUCGGGGCUGCGCUGUCCUCCCAGGGCUCCCCGGGGCUCCACAGUUCUCAUCACGUAGACAGGGCUCAGAGAUGGAUGUCGAGGAAAGCAAGGGCCGGUCCUGGCCGGCGUCUUCCCGGGCCUGGGCCUUGUGCGGUCUGCGCCUUGAUUUUGCCAUCUGUAGAGUGGGCCGGGUUAAUUCUGGGGCUGCUGGGAGAGCGAGGCGGAGCACGGGCAGCACCCGGGCACCGGGGGGGGGGGGGGGGCAGACGUCGAGCUCAAGGCCUGGCUCUGGCCUCCAAGCUCCGGCAGCCAGCACCAGCUGGGGCCCAGACUUCCUAAAAAAAAAAAAAAAAAUCCAAACUCUCUCUCACAUAUGUAAUCCCAUUUGUGUGUUCAGGGAAACCGAAUCCACACAUUCCUGAUUCCCUUACGGUGUAGCCAUGCUGCGCUGACCCCAGGCCUGCGUGCCAAGCGGGCGCCGAGGGGCCUCUGCUGUGUGACCCUCCCGGAGCUCGAGUACAGCCCAGACACGGGCCAGGCUUGGUGCCCCCCGCCCCCGCCCCGCACGCUGUGCACGGGAGACGCAGGAGGCUUGGGGCCGCUCCCCAGGGAACGCGUUCCCGCGGCGCCUGCUCAUUUGAAAUCAGAGACAGAAAGCGGCGCAGAGACGUCUGCCACCCGCUGGCUCUGUCC
rnacentral:lncRNA from 1 species